AUUCUUCUCUGCCCGGAGUAAAUAGAUCAGCUUGCAUUCUCUGGGGGUGGGGAGAAUGUAAUUUACAGAUGCUAGUUAAGGUCAUGGUCAUGAAACUUCUCAGUUUUCAUCCCUUCGACCUGCGCGUAUUGAAAAUAUGUAUUUUGACCAGUUCUAAAGAUGAUUUACAUUGCUUUGAAGGUCUGGGAAUGACCUACAAUUAGUUCAGAGGUUAAGUUGUAAGCAUUCAAAGCAUUUGGUUUUGUGUUAAUCCUUAAGGGAGCUGUCAGUAAAUAGUGUGGGGAGGGGGCCGGUUUGAGGGAAAAGAGGUAACUUGACAACCUUCUUUUGAAGUAACAAUCCUUUUCAUCCAGGUAUACUUUUAUAUCUUUAGGAUGGUUUGGAAAGAAAGUCUCACUUCUGGAAACUGGCAAAUUCAGUAAAGCUUUUAAAAUAAAAGGCAGACAAUCUUGAGUUUUUGUAGACUCAUGCACUAUGGGACAAAAAGAGCAAAGACUUCUCACUAAAAGAAAAUAGUUGUUUAAGACAGAGAUUCAGGAUGUCUGAAUCCUGGGCAGGUCCUCGGAACCCCCUUUUCCUCAGGAACUUGACCUCUCUGCAGGGGUUUUGGUUGGCAACUACUGUUUCCCUAAAGAGUGGAGCUUUUGAGUUCUUUGUUCCAGGAUUGGUUGGUGAAAACAAUGCCACUCAAAUGCCUACUGUUAGAGUUAUGCAGAAAACCCAGGUAACUUGGCAGAAAUCCUUCUUUUGUUAGGUUAAUAUAUCUUCUCCCUUUUAUAAGUGUAUGGUAAUUCUCAAACCUGCUGAACUAGGAGUCACCUGGGGGUGAAAUUAGAACCAUAAAAGGGAAGAACAGGGGAAUCCUCAUUUUGUAACAAGAGUUUCUGGUAAUUCUAUGAAUAAGCCUGCGCACCUGUAGCAGGUGAUCUCACUGAGCUACAUAAUGAUGGCCGAGUCUACCCUUUUUUUCUUUUUGAAAGAAUAUGAAAUUCACCUGCUUCCAUGGCUCCAUGGCCCCUUAUCAUUUGCUUCUGGUUACCGAGAACCUCAGAUCGAUUCUGAUUUUGCAAGCAGACCUGCUACCUUGCUAGCAAGAUUUCCCAAAGCCUCAACAGUUCUUCAGUCCUCUGAUUACAAAGGGAAGGCAGAAGAGAGCAAAAACAGUAGGUACCACCAAACACCCCCAAAGACCUGGGUUCGAUUCCUGGAUUGGGAAGAUCCGCUGGAGAAGGGAAUGGCUUCUUGCCUGGAGAAUUCCAUGAACAGAGGAGCCUGCCAGGCUAUAGUCCAUGGGGUUGCAAAGAGUUGGAUAUGACUGAGUGGCUACCAAACGCCCCAAAUGGAUUGAUGGAUAGCUACAUGAUGAAACAGAGUGAAGUGUCAAUGGUUGAACCCGGGUAGUGUGUAUGUGGGUAGUCACUGUCCUGUUCUGUCAAUUGCUGUGUUUUUGAAACAAAACAUUUUCAUAUUUGGAGGAAAAAUUGAAAAAAAAAAAAAAANNNNNNNNNNNNNNNNNNNNNNNNNNNNNNNNNNNNNNNNNNNNNNNNNNNNNNNNNNNNNNNNNNNNNNNNNNNNNNNNNNNNNNNNNNNNNNNNNNNAUUUGGAGGAAAAAUUGAAAAAAAAAAAAAAAGCUGUAGUUCUAUAACAGCCACACAGCUUAACCUGAUAAGGAUUUUCUGCCACCCUCUGGUGUUUGAAACUUCUUCUGAAAUCUUUUGUCUUCCAGGAGACAUGUCAGGAUUGGCACUGUCUUUUGAUGGCAGAGUCACCAUAUAAAGUACAGGGAUUUGUCACAGAUCUUCCUGAGUUUUUGUUCUGUGGACACUCAAUGAGUAUUUGCUGAUGAAGAAGAAAAUGAAGUAACUGCAGACUCGCAGUUAAUGUCUACAAGUAUAGGCACUGUUUGCCCUCAGCGUAUGUAGAACCUGUUGGUGAAAGUCACUCAGUCGUGUCUGACUCUUGGCAGCCCCGUGGACUAUACCGUCCACGGAAUUCUCCAGGNNNNNNNNNNNNNNNNNAGCCUUUCCCUUCUCCAGGGGAUCUUCCCAAUCCAGGGAUUGAACCCAGGGCUCCCGCAUUGCAGGCAGAUUCUUUACCAGCUGAGCCACAAGGGAAGACAUUAGAACAUGUUGAUGGCUCCAAAAUCAGCCCCCAUGUGUCUCUUGACUGGGGAAAAUUGCCUCCUUGCAAGAGAGAAAAAAACAUAACCCUAUGGUCUCUAAUUUACAGGAAAACACUUUGCUCAAAUCAUGAUAAAACUCUUUUUUUGGUUUUUAUGGAGAAAAAAGAAAAAGUGGCUUUAUUUCUUAGCCAAGUGAAGGGGAACAUAGUAGGCUAGAGCCUCAAGAACUGUGCCCCUGAUACCAAUCAUUCAUUGAAAACAUUCCCUACA
ensembl:lncRNA